UACGUAGGUGGCAAGCGUUGUCCGGAAUUAUUGGGCGUAAAGCGCGCGCAGGUGGUUCCUUAAGUCUGAUGUGAAAGCCCCCGGCUCAACCGGGGAGGGUCAUUGGAAACUGGGGAACUUGAGUGCAGAAGAGGAUAGUGGAAUUCCAAGUGUAGCGGUGAAAUGCGUAGAGAUUUGGAGGAACACCAGUGGCGAAGGCGAACUGUCUGGUCUGUAACUGACACUGAGGCG
rnacentral:rRNA from 1 species